CGCGGCCUAUCAGCUUGUUGGGGGGGUGACGGCCCACCAAGGCGACGACGGGUAGCCGGCCUGAGAGGGCGACCGGCCACACUGGGACUGAGACACGGCCCAGACUCCUACGGGAGGCAGCAGUGGGGAAUAUUGCGCAAUGGGGGAAACCCUGACGCAGCGACGCCGCGUGCGGGAUGAAGGCCUUCGGGUUGUAAACCGCUUUCACCAGGGACGAAGCUAACGUGACGGUACCUGGGGAAGAAGCGCCGGCUAACUACGUGCCAGCAGCCGCGGUAAUACGUAGGGCGCGAGCGUUGUCCGGAAUUAUUGGGCGUAAAGAGCUCGUAGGCGGCCGGUUGCGUCUGCUGUGAAAUCCCGGGGCUUAACCCCGGGCGUGCAGUGGAUACGGGCCGGCUGGAGGCAGGCAGGGGAGAAUGGAAUUCCCGGUGUAGCGGUGAAAUGCGCAGAUAUCGGGAGGAACACCGGUGGCGAAGGCGGUUCUCUGGGCCUGUACUGACGCUGAGGAGCGAAAGCGUGGGGAGCGAACAGGAUUAGAUACCCUGGUAGUCCACGCCGUAAACGUUGGGCGCUAGGUGUGGGUCCCUUCCACGGGGUCUGUGCCGCAGCUAACGCAUUAAGCGCCCCGCCUGGGGAGUACGG
rnacentral:rRNA from 1 species